GACAGAGGGGGCAAGCGUUGCUCGGAAUCACUGGGCGUAAAGGGCGCGUAGGCGGGAUGGCAAGUCAGUCGUGAAAUCUCUCGGCUCAACCGAGAAACGUCGGCUGAUACUGCCGUUCUUGAGGGAUGCAGAGGAGACUGGAAUUCCCGGUGUAGCGGUGAAAUGUGUAGAGAUCGGGAGGAACACCGGUGGCGAAGGCGGGUCUCUGGGCAAUUCCUGACGCUGAGGCGCGAAAGCGUGGGGAGCAAACGGG
rnacentral:rRNA from 1 species